AGAGUUUGAUUCUGGCUCAGAACGAACGCUGGCGGCGUGGAUUAGGCAUGCAAGUCGAACGAGAUCCAUUAGAUUUGAGACUUCGGUUGAUGAUCUUUUGGUGACAGUGGCGGAAGGGUGAGUAAUGUAUGAAUAACUUGUCUCUAAGUUUGGGAUAACCCUGGGAAACUGGGACUAAUACCGGAUGUGGUUAUAGCGUGGCAUCAUGUUAUAACUAAAGGUGGGGAUCUUUCGGGACCUGCCGCUUGGAGAGAGGUUCGUAUCCUAUUAGCUUGUUGGUGAGGUAAUUGCUCACCAAGGCAACGAUGGGUAGCCGGCCUGAGAGGGUGACCGGCCACACUGGGACUGAGACACUGCCCAGACUCCUACGGGAGGCUGCAGUCGAGAAUCUUUCGCAAUGGGGGAAACCCUGACGAAGCGACGCCGCGUGAGCGAUGAAGGCUUUCGGGUUGUAAAGCUCUGUCGCCAGGGAAGAAGUGCAUAGGUGUUAAUACCACCUUUGUUUGACGUUACCUGGAGAGGAAGCCCCGGCUAACUCCGUGCCAGCAGCCGCGGUAAUACGGGGGGGGCAAGCGUUGUUCGGAUUUACUGGGCGUAAAGGGGGUGUAGGUGGCCUACCAAGUCAGAUGUGAAGGAUCCCUGCUUACCAGGGAAAACGCAUCUGAAACUGUUAGGCUUGAGUUUGGGAGAAGAGAGUGGAAUUCUCGGUGUAGCGGUGAAAUGUGUAGAUAUCGAGAAGAACACCAGUGGCGAAAGCGGCUCUCUAGUCCAAAACUGACACUGAGGCCCGAAAGCUAGGGGAGCGAAUGGGAUUAGAUACCCCGGUAGUCCUAGCUGUAAACGAUGUGCACUUGGUGUAGGAGGUAUCGACCCCUUCUGCGCCGAAGCUAACGCGUUAAGUGCACCGCCUGGGGAGUACGGCCGCAAGGUUAAAACUCAAAGAAAUUGACGGGGGCCCGCACAAGCGGUAGCAUGUGGUUUAAUACGACGCUACGCGUGGAACCUUACCAGGGCUUGACAUGUAUUUGACCGCCGGUGAAAGCCGGUUUUCCUUCGGGACAGAUACACAGGUGUUGCAUGGCUGUCGUCAGCUCGUGUCGUGAGAUGUUGGGUUAAGUCCCGCAACGAGCGCAACCCAUAUCCCUAGUUGCCAGCACUUAAGGUGGGGACUCUAGGGAGACUGCCUCGGUUAACGGGGAGGAAGGUGCGGAUGACGUCAAGUCAGUACGGCCCUUACGUCCUGGGCUACACACGUGCUACAAUGGCCGGUACAAAGGGUUGCUAAACCGCGAGGUCACGCUAAUCCCAAAAAGCCGGUCUCAGUUCGGAUUGGAGUCUGCAAUUCGACUCCAUGAAGCUGGAAUCGCUAGUAAUGGCGCAUCAGCCACGGCGCCGUGAAUACGUUCCCGGGCCUUGUACACACCGCCCGUCACAUCACCCGAGUUGGAUGCACCCGAAGUCGCUGAACCAACCGUAAGGAGGAAGGCGCCGAAGGUGUGUUUGGUAAGGAGGAUGAAGUCGUAACAAGGUA
rnacentral:rRNA from 1 species